AGCGAACGCUGGCGGCAGGCUUAACACAUGCAAGUCGAGCGGGCGUAGCAAUACGUCAGCGGCAGACGGGUGAGUAACGCGUGGGAACGUACCUUUUGGUUCGGAACAACACAGGGAAACUUGUGCUAAUACCGGAUAAGCACUUACGGGGAAAGAUUUAUCGCCGAAAGAUCGGCCCGCGUCUGAUUAGCUAGUUGGUAGGGUAAUGGCCUACCAAGGCGACGAUCAGUAGCUGGUCUGAGAGGAUGAUCAGCCACAUUGGGACUGAGACACGGCCCAAACUCCUACGGGAGGCAGAAGUGGGGAAUAUUGGACAAUGGGGGCAACCCUGAUCCAGCCAUGCCGCGUGAGUGAUGAAGGCCCUAGGGUUGUAAAGCUCUUUUUUGCGGGAAGAUAAUGACGGUACCGCAAGAAUAAGCCCCGGCUAACUUCGUGCCAGCAGCCGCCGUAA
rnacentral:rRNA from 1 species